UACGUAGGGUGCGAGCGUUGCCCGGGAUUUAUUGGGCGUAAAGGGCGCGUAGGCGGCCACUGCAAGUCAGUUGUGAAAUCUCCGGGCUUAACCCGGAAAGGUCAACUGAUACUGCAGGGCUAGAGUGCAGAAGGGGCAACUGGAAUUCUCGGUGUAGCGGUGAAAUGCGUAGAUAUCGAGAGGAACACCUGCGGCGAAGGCGGGUUGCUGGGCUGACAUUGACGCUGAGGCGCGAAAGCCAGGGGAGCGAACGGG
rnacentral:rRNA from 1 species